GUAGGUGGCAAGCGUUGUCCGGAAUUAUUGGGCGUAAAGCGCGCGCAGGCGGUCCUUUAAGUCUGAUGUGAAAGCCCACGGCUCAACCGUGGAGGGUCAUUGGAAACUGGGGGACUUGAGUACAGAAGAGGAAAGCGGAAUUCCACGUGUAGCGGUGAAAUGCGUAGAGAUGUGGAGGAACACCAGUGGCGAAGGCGGCUUUCUGGUCUGUAACUGACGCUGAGGCGCGAAAGCGUAGGGAGCAAACAGGGAUUAGAUACCCUGGUAGUCCACGCCGUAAACGAUGAGUGCUAAGUGUUAGGGGGUUUCCCGCCCCUUAGUGCUGCAGCUAACGCAUUAAGCACUCCGCCUGGGGAUACGGCCGCAAGGCUG
rnacentral:rRNA from 1 species